ensembl:lncRNA
UGGCAGUGCAAUUAGAGAAAGAUAAUUACUGAAAAACAGUUACUUCAAGUUACUGUUGCUAAGGGUGGUUUUAAAAACUACUGGGUCAUGGGUUUUUUGACUUUUCACAAAAGGUAUAACUUUGCUAUAUUUAUGUGGAUACACAAGGAAAUACUGUGCGAUUUAUUUUUCACAAUAUUUUGUAGUUAGCGUUCAUGUAAAGACCUAAUAUGCUAAUUUAACCAAAAUCAUGUAAAACCAGUGAAGCUUUUUACAGUUUGAGCAACAAAGAAAAAGAACAAGAGGACCUGGAGCGAGAGGAUUUUUGAUUCUUGGGAAAGGGCAAAAAGAUCUGCAAAAGUAAAAGGUGAAUCACACAUGUACUGCGCUCAACUCAAGGUAGACAACUGGCACAGGUAGAAAGAGAACAAAGACGGAGGAGAACAGAGGGAUGGAAACGGACGCAUGUCUGUUAUGUUCGUGAGGGUUAAACUCUGGGGAAAUUACCUCAUCGCAAGACCUCUCCAGAGCGCUGCAGCCAUGUUGAUUUUUCACUGCUUGUGUCUAACUCGAGCCAGGCCAAACCAGCCAAACUCUGACAGUUUGACCUUCCUCAGAGGUCACUCCUAUUCUUACAGCAGCCAGCCCAGCACGGCCUCCUGCUUCAGCACAGGCCAGCCCUGUAUAACUGAUCACACCGCUAUCCAGGCUCAUUCUGCAGAGAUGUGGGAAUGAAAGGUCCGAUUAGGGCCUGCUGGAAGUAUUCAGCACACAGUCGCUACCCCGCCCGGCCCAUCACUCCAGUCGGCGGCCCCCUUCUAACCAGCCCCUGCUCCCCUCCGUCCUGCGCUCCUCAGAGCUGUGAUUGGCAUGUGAAUUACAGUGUGUGGUGAUGAUAAUAAGAGUGCUAACCGGGGCCAGGCCUGCGCCUUCGAGCCAGCAGCCAAUCCCAGCUGGCACAGCCUGAAAGACAACCGCUGCCACCAUCUGAAGAGGCAAAUAAAAAUGACAAGCU